rnacentral:rRNA from 1 species
UACGGGGGGGGCAAGCGUUGUUCGGAAUUACUGGGCGUAAAGGGCUCGUAGGUGGCCAACUAAGUCAGACGUGAAAUCCCCAGGCUCAACCUGGGAACUGCGUCUGAUACUGGAUGGCUUGAAUUCGGGAGAGGGAUGCAGAAUUCCAGGUGGAGCAGUGAAAUGCGUAGAUAUUGUGAGGAACACUAGUGGCGAAGGCGAAUCUCUGGACAGUUCCUGACGCUGAGGCACGAAGGCCAGGGGAGCAAACGGG